CCGAGUUACUACUGUGCGCAGCUAGAGUUUAAGCCUGCCGCGGUCCCUGUGAGAGUCACUGCAGGGCAUGCCUCAGUUUCCCUCCUGCAAGGAGAGGAAGGUACAGUCUCGGGUGCAGGCUGCUGGAGCGUGGAGAGAUCCAGGGGCCAGAGAAAGCCCUGAGGCAAAGAGAGGCUGAUCGUAGCAGCAGGAAGGGUGGGGGUGCACCAACAGGGUGAGGCCUGCCCCAGGAGCGGGGCGCGAGGGACUUCCGCUAUGCCUUUGUGACAUGUCCGGCUUCGCCACCUCUGUUGUAGCCCUUUUGGUCCAGCCCUGACCCAAGAGGAGAUCGCCUGUCAUCCUAGUCCUUGUCCGACUCGAUGGCUUUUCUGUGCUGUGUUAGCAUGACAGCAUAUGUGUGGGUUUGAGGGGCCGUGGACUGAGGCAAGGUGCCCACUGUCCCACGGAAGGAACAGCGCCUGCCUUGUAUCGCCUUGUUCUCUCUCCCAAAUCCCGCUUGUGGCCGACCUUCUCCAGGGGGCUGACGACAGGGCCCGAGCCCCGGGUCCUCUCUUUCCUCCUUGCUAUCCGGCCGGUCUGGCUCCUUCCUCCCAGAACAUUUCGAUCCUUCAAGUUCUCCGCUCCUUUGUUCGAUGUAACAUUAACCAGCUACCCGGUUUCCGUGGUGAGGUGCGGGGGGAUUAACUGGAGGGAAGAGAUGAACGAUCCUUUUCUAGGUCCAAUCUCCAGAUCUGGAUGCUGUAAACUGAGAGUGGGUGAGGCUAGCCCACUGGAUGUAGCCAAGGGUUCCUGCCUUCUGGAGUGUAGCUACACUGAGCUGUGACGGGCACCGGGGACAGGGAAGUACACAAAGACCCGAAGCCAAGCUUGCGGGCCUCGAGACUUACGGCUCAGGGCACAAGUCUCCGCUGUUUGCCAGCGGGGUGUCGUCGGGCAAGUCGUUUCACUUCUCUCUGUCCCUGUUUCCUGGUCUAUAAAAUGGAAACAACGAUAGUGCCCGCUUCGUGGAGCUCUUGCAACGGUAAGACACGCGGGAAAAUUCCCUUGCCUGGCACACAGUAAGAGUUUGGCAAACGAGAGCUGUUUCUACCUCUUGUCACCAUCACCGGCAUCACCACCAUCAUCACCGUUACGGUCAUUGUUGUCUGGGCUUCCGGAAAUACCAACACUGAGCAGCGGGCUUUCAUAAGGACGGGGGCCCGUGCAUCGAGAAGGAGCAAAGAUGAGGAAACGGAGGCCCUAGAAGAACUGUGAAGGGGAAAAAUCAGGACUGGACCACUGGAAUGCUGUGCUCCCGACUCCUCAUCGGGGCUCUCUCUGUCCUUCGGCUCAGAGAGGAGGCAUCGCCCCACGACAAG